GAAUCGGUGCGAGAAGCAAACGCCCGCAGAACUGGUCAUCACCGGGAUGCUGGGCAGAAAGCUGCGGCCAGCGGGAGCCUUCUGCCGAGCGAGGUCAAGAGAAGUCCAAAACAAUGACGCUUGGCAAAGCCUGUGUUUUUUUAAAGCCGAAACUGCUUCAAUCGUCAUCGAGGGAUUUUGCUGCGCUCUCACUGUGAGGCUGCCGGCGUCCGUGUAACUGUGGCUGCUAACGCACGCAUCCGUGGGCCCCGCUGGGUCGGAGCGAUGCCAGCCAGGCAGCCCGGGCUGCACACCGUCCUCAGGUGUAACUCUGUGCUCAGGGAGCUCUCCUCACACAGCAAGCAUGGAGAGUUAACGUCACCGGCACGGCCAGGAGAUCCCAGCUGCUUGGCUGGAUGCUUGGGAGCUAUGAAGGGAAAGCAGUGCUUUUCUUUUCCCUCUGGGAAAUUAUCGGGUUUCUGGUUUAAAACUAAGCCCUCUAAUUUCAGAAAUUCCUUCGUCUCACCCUCUUUUAUUUCUAUAAGAAUAGGAGGCCCGUGCCUGUGAUCACUGCGUACCACGUCCUUACAGCCACACAACCCCCUUCUUGGACGCUUCAGGGAUGCUGAUUCCACCGCUUCCCCGGACAGCCUGCUCCAACCUCACCACUCUUUCUGAGAGGAACGUUUUCCUAAUAUCCAACCUGAAUAGGAGUGGCCUAUGAGACAUGAAAUGCUUUCUCAGUUCAGUUGUACCCUAUCGAUUUCUUAUGAUCUCUAAGAGAAAUAACCAUGGGUGUUUUCCAAAGUUUUCUUUGGAACAAACAAGUGCCCUCUACUGUUUGCUACCAUCAGGUGUCAUUGUCAUACGAUGUAUUUUAACAGUCAGGCCCAUCCCUUGCAUCUUGAAUGCAGGUACACCUAACCUUAUACCAUGCAUUUUGGAAAUGCUCAUUCACUGUGGAUGUGUAAAUGAUGUUUGAUUUCACCUUUCCUCUGCUAUUUUCAUGCGUAGCUUUUGCACAGAGGUAGGCUGUUCUGCAUCAGACCAGCACUACAGGCACAGGGGGAAUUUGCACACUCCACUCUCUCACCUGCCAUAAAAAGCAAGUUGUGCUGGAGGUAAGUAUUAAAAAGGGUAAUAGUCUUCAAAAAAGCACUGGGUUUAAACAAUUGCAGAUAGAAUUCAUGCAAAACAUUACAGGGAAUGUUGUAUUUGUUGCAACUGCUGAGCACAUAAAGAGAAUGUUGACCUGCACAAGCAAUUUUGGGAGCCCUGAGCAGGACAGGUCACCCUCAGAAUUCCUUCAUUUCUGCCUGCUUUCUGUGAUAAGCCUUGCUUUGCUUUAUUCUCCAUAUUUCACAGUUCCAACUGAAAGAAUCACAAUACUGUCUUACUUAUUUUUCAUGAAGGUUAAAGACUUGAGCAGCGUCGUGAUACUUUGUUUGCAUGUGAAAAUGCCCUACAGACUGAGCUAGGGACAAAGAAGAACAAAGAAGGUUCUUUCUCUGGUUAUUUUAAUUGUGAAGAAUAAAAAGUAACUAUAAAAUACUUAAUGAACUAUAAUGAAGUUCAUCUGGAAAACCCAACAUUCACACUGUGUUUAUGAUUCCCCUGGCCUGGACUAACAUCAGAGCCUCUGGAAUUGUAUAUCCUGGUUCAAACAUUAUGGUGAGGCCAUUUUGUUCCAGAAAGGGUCCUGUGGUGUUGCUCUUAGCUGCAUGUCUCCCACACAGUGCUGUGGUGCAUACUGCCCUAUUACACGUGACUGCUGAGUGAGCCCACGGAAAGCUUUCAGAUGUGCCAAAAACCACUUGGAGGUUCACUGGUGUUAUUUUUUCUUGGUGUGAAACAAAUAAAAAUAUCCCGCCUGACUGAACGCAGCUCAGGCUGCAAAGUAAUGUUGGUAAUUAUCUUCUUAUUCAUAUUGGUGGUUUUAGGCAGUCUGAGAAUCCCAGCCCCAUUGAAACACUGAGACUUCAGGAAAGCAUUUAGCCUAACCUGAUUUGCAGUUCAGCACCUGAUCCAGCAGAUGUACCAGCCAAAACUUUACCAAGGGUAACAAACAAAGCCUGGGGUUAAUUUAGAUAUUUCUCAGAUUAAGAGGUGGGAAACAUGCAAAUAAGGCUAUGAUGAGGCUUUGUAGCUUCCACAAUGGGUAUCAGAUACUCUUCAGCAAGCCCUUGACUUUCAAAACGAUUGCAGGAUUUUUCAGCACUUCUGCUGAGGAAAUACUUACUGUUAAUGACACAGAAAAAAAAAAAAUUCCAAGAAAAAUAAUCAAAUACUUUACACUGUUCAGAAACAUUUAGGUUCCUGUUUACUCACAUUCUCACAGUAAACAGGAGGCUAGUUAGCAAAGGUACAGAGAUGAGAUAAAGGCAAAGCACAUCUUUCUCAGAGUCCAGUUCAGGGAUGCUAUCUCAGAUUUAGAAAAAAAUAAAUAAAUAAAAGAGGAGACAUCAUUUGCUAAUUACUAUUCCCAGAGCAAAACUAAACCUUAGAAAUAAUGAUUAGUCAUCAGCUACAACCUGCUUAGUAGAAGAGGCUAGAUUUCAAAAAGAUGCAUAAAUUGGGUGGCUAAGUCCACAGACACAAGAAUUAAUGAACUGCCGAGGGCUUAACAUGUUUCAAAAGUCAAAUGACUUAACCUAAGUGUGGCCUAAAGCUGCAGAAACCCCAUGGUGGUAAUUAAUUAUAGUUUUAGCUUUCAUAAACAUCUGCUGGAAACUGGUGGGUGCAUCUUACCACACAAGAAUCCUUUUUUGGUCACCAAAAGGCAAGUGGAGUGGCACAGCAGUUCAACACUAGUCAUACUCUCCUCCCUUCGUGCUUUAUUCAGUUUUAGAAUUGCAAAGUAACGUCAUUCAGUCAGCUCUUCCUUCAUUCCAUUGAGCAUUUUAAGUACUGAGCAGAACUGAUUUGGAAACAUCUGAACUGCUUUGAGCACUAGAAGUCAUCAAAUUUAGAAUCUUCAAAAGCAAAUGACCUGAAAGUGAAUCAUGAAAAACACAGAGGCAUCCCCAGCUUUGGACUUCUGGCAAAUGGAGCUCUUUUGAUCCUCAUCACAGCACAACAGGAACCACCCACUGUUCUCAGGAAUCACACACUGCUGCUUCUCUUCUGCUUAGUGAGCCCUUUUCACCUGUCAGGUGUCUGCCCCAUGCUAUUUAUCUCAGCUCUGCUACGUUCCUGUUAUCUCAUUUAUGUUACUUAACCUUUCUGCCUUCUCCAUUGUAUUCAUCUGCCUCCUGACAACUGACCUUCCUUCAGCAGCUGGGCAUGUUUUUAGUUACUUUAUUGUUUCUUUAAAGCAAUAUAGCUGUUAACUGUAACGGAUAAGAUAAUUUAAAGAACGAUCAGUCCCUAAAGCAUUACUUGUUGGAUAGAGGACCAUCCAAAUCACUUUCAGCAUAAGAAUGUGCACUGCACGCUUUUGCUCUUAUAUGUGAGCAGGAAUGAAUUCUCAGCAAUGUUGGUACCCCAAGGGAUAACUAGUCAGAUAACAGCUCUGUUCAGUUUAGUUUCAUUAAGACUACUGCCUGAAGCAGAAGCAACACUCAGAGCUCAGAGGAAAACAUAUGCUCAUACCCUGAGACAUGCUGACAGCAUCCUGGUCACUGGACUGGACUGACAGAUGGGAUCCAGGGCCGAGGGUGUCAGGGCUCCCAGCUGCAGCAAGCCCCCUGUUACAGCACUGGGUCACUGCAGGAGGGUUCCAGAGCACAUCCAGCUCUCCUUUCACUCACCCAGCUCUCCUCUGCUGCUUGCAUUCCCUGCAGGCAUUACUGAUGGCAGUGGCUGUGGGAAAGUGUUUUUUAUUUUUUCUAUAGCAGGUGCUGUUCCACUGUAUUGGGAAAUCCCCUUGGAGGUCAGAGAUGAGAGAUUUAUCAUCAGUUGGAGGCAGGAGCCACUAGUUUGGACUCACACAUGAUCUGAUCUGGAAGUACCCGAAGCAACAAGUUUCAGAAGAAACAGAAAGAUAUUUCUGCAUUCGCAGGUGCAACAUUAAUGAGAAAUGUGAUUUUUACCACGUGACAUCUGCUACUUGCACUUUGCAACCACUAAACUGCUCACCACUUCCAGAGGAAAAGAUAAGGCUUUCAGACCCAAACCCACCGAAAGGGGGGGUGGUUCAAGGCACUUUAGACUCCUCAUUAUCAAAAGGUGAGAUAUGCCAUCCUGUAGGCUGAGGUAAGUGGCUUCUACUUUUCUUGCUCCUCUGGUGUAGUAGGGCUGCGUUUGUCAGCUGUAGGUAUCCCUAAGCUGUGGCUGAUGAAGCAGCAUCCAGAGCAACGAAGUUAUCUCCUUGUAGGGUUGGGAACACCAGGAGCUGGAGGAAUACUCCAGCUUGCUUGCCUUUGCUUCUUAAGAAUAGGAUCACCUUCAGAAAAUGAAGGUAAUUUCUAUUUAAAUUGGCCUCGCUGUGCACCGAUUUGUGGCCAUGCUCAUUAGGAAGGGAGGGGGUCCGGGAAGCACCUUGCCUAAUAGCAGUAAGGCAAAAAGUGAACUGGAGGAGGAAAUGGAAAGAGGGUAGAAUAUGUUUAAGGAUUACAUCUUGGCACGCACAGCAUGUGAUUUUACAACCCAAGUCACACUGGCUAGGGGUAAAUCAGCAGCUAUUAAUCCCAUGGGAAACAAAGGAAACCCAAGGUACUACCUCCUGCAAGGAUUCUGUGAGAACUCAGCAGGUAACCGUGAUGAGAGUGCAGAUCUCUGCAGGCACAAUUAUACCUACCAUGGAAAACACAUGAAGAUUUUUCAGUGCAUAAAUCGGGGGCAGGAGGAAGAUAAGAUAUUUGUUUUUGUAUUUUAAUUAAACGUAAAGGGAACUGAAAGAUUUUUUUUAGCUCCGCAUCUUUUGGGACCUCCUAAAGCAAAGAGCUGUGCUUUGCUGAGCUUCCAUAGAUGGAUAGCUCUGGGAACAAAUGUUGAGAGGAAUUAAUCCUAACUUCAUCCACUAGGAAGUUUCUUUCUUUCCAGCCUUUAAGAAAACCCUGGUUUUCAUGACAACAGAAAGAAAAGCAAGUGCCCAUGCAUAAGAGUGAACAGAAUCCUAUUUAGAAAGUGAAUAGGGGUACAAAUUACCCAGCAUAAACACACAUCCAAGUAACUGUCUGUUUGCAAACUAAUUGGUUUUUCUAACUAUGGUUACUUAUGUAGGCAAAAAAAAAAAAAAAAGAUGAAAGGGGAGACCUUGACUGUUAUUUUCUCUUCAGCAUAAAUAGGCCAUCUGAGUUGUCUUAAUAAGGGAUGUAUCAUGUUCCUGAACUGACCAUAUGUUUUAUAGUUUUAAUUGCUUCUACCACUUUUUUUUUUUUUUUUCUUUUUUUCCCAGAGGGAUUUUGAAGGGUUUAGAGACUGUGAAAGAAGGGAGAAGAGUUGGCAAUGUCGGUAUCACAUCCUUUGCUGGAGUUCAUGUAUUGAUGUAGGGUUUUACCACACAGCAGUGAAAGUGCUGGCUAAAAAAAAAACAAUUCACAGAUCACAGAGGUAAAAGUUGGGAGCACCAAGAAGUGCAGAAGCUCAGCUGAACUUCAGUUAAAGUCUCAUCCUGUACGUCACAGUCACGCAAAGUCUAGAUGGAGACCUAUUUAUGUAUAGCCAACAAGACGGAGCCUUUCACUUGCAAGAACAACUGGCUUCUUAACACUGUCAGGAAGAAACCACUCCAUCCACGCAUGACCACGUUUUACCCUUCCUCCACACCUGUGCAAUACUUCCCAGCCACCAGACUCUUAACAUUUUACAGAGAGGGGGAGAACUUCACCCAGAGCAGAACUGAAUAACAAAAGAAAAGAAGAGAGGUACUGGAAAACAGCUGUUGCAGCCUGGGAAAAGCAACGACAACAACAAAGAAUGCAUUUCCACAGCAACGAUUUUCUGUACACAAAAUGCAGUGCGGUUUACACAGGAGGUGGUGUGCAGUGGUUGUCCUGCAUCUGCACCAGCAGCCUGUACCCUGCAUUGCUGCAGUGCAGCCUGCCCUCCCUCUGCGUUUCAGCCUUGUGCCAAAGGGGUCAUGGCUAAGGGCAGAAGUGUGACGAUGCUAAUGUUGCCUCUGCUCUUCUGGGUUAUGAGAAGCUGAAUCUCAGGCUACUGACGGCUUUCAUUAGCGAUAGUAGAUUUAAAUUAAGCUUUGUCCUUAUUUUAUUUUUAAAUAAACAGUUUAUGUAUUGAUAAAUUGUUUCUCUAAUGAUGAGCAUUACCAGUUUGUUUUACCCCAGGAAGGAAUGUAUAAGAAUUCUUCAGCAAAUAGAAGUCUUUGGAUUUUUGGACUAGUGAUGUUUCCAAGAUACUGGGCUUUCCCUGUGAAGCACACAAGGGAAGUACAGCAUCUUUAGGGAGAGGUUUUUUUUCCUCAGUUAGGAUUUGGUGUAAAAUUUCAGUCUGGCUUUAACUACAUCUCUCCUUCAAGGCUUAAAAUACAACAGUACUUUAAUCCUUAUUUUUAUAGAUGUAAGUAAUUCCUACUGCAGGUUUUUGGUUCACUGGCAGGAAAACUCAGGUUUGGAUAUCGCCCUAUUAUCUGACUUCUAACUCUGGGUUUCAGCUAGGCUGCAUGAGAGCCCUCUCCUUAUGCAUGGUGUUUUUAUGCAUGUAUGCUUUUCCAGUUCAUAGUGCCUGAGACAGAGCAAACAAUACAACCGUGGAGAGGAUACACAGCCUGCUGCACAGAGUGGCAUCAGAGUGUAAGUUUGAAGUAUAAAACCUGAAGAAGGCAGCAAAGAGUUUGGGGAACCAGUUCUGAUACAGUCCAUUGCCAGCUCUGUGGUGUGCCAGAUCUCUUAUAAAUUGCUAUUUAUCAUGGUCCAAGAGUUGUGCAGUGUUAGUGACAGGUCCCAAAGUGAAGCUAGUUCUCUGGCAUUGGCUUAUUUUGCAGUAAGAACAUGCCAUAAAGUCCUGUUCUUAUUCUAGGUCAGCUCAGAAUGGUGGGGGUGGUUUAUGAAAAGCUAGUUUCAGUCCAGUCAUUGUGAAGAUAGUAAAUGUUCUUCUGAGCCACAUGAAGGCCCCAGUCCAGGUGUUUUUCUCGGUGUAAUAUAUGCUGCCAAAUUUGUGUGUUUCUGAACAUCUAGCAGCAUUCACCGAUGGGUUUCCAUUAGUCCAGUGACUGAAGCACUUGUUCAAGAAGCAAGAUAGCUUGUCCAGUUCUCUUUUAAUCUGUAGGAAGUAUGCACAUUUUAAAUCGCCACACCAUGUCUUUCUAGGAGAAGGGAUAAGGAAUGAUUCUGGCCUUUCACUUACUGCCUUUGAAGCAGGGCAUUGUGCAGAAAGUCAGAAAGGGCAGACAAGACCCUUCAGCUGGGAACUGUUUUGUCUCUGCUCCAAGAACAGUUCCCAUAUUUCACGUUUGUGUGAAAUACAGUGCUAGAGGCAGGGGUUGGGAGCCUCUUCUACAAGGUUCAUGGCCUUCCUGUAGGAUAUCAUGAUUGUAGGAGUCACUCAAAGAGCUUGGCUUCUCUCUCUGGUCCAGGGAAUAUCAGACAGAGAGAGCAGCUCAAGAGCUUGUUCACCAAGUGAGCUAGUUGCAAGGCAAACCCAGCAAUACAACUGCAUGGCUACAGAUAGUGGCUCUGAGAAAAUCUGGGCUUAGUAUGAGUGCUGAUCCCAAGCCUUAUUUGCCACAGCUUGAAGACAAUGUAGGACACAUAGAUGUAACCUCUGAUGAGUGCCUAUGAUCAGGCAGAAGACAGGCACAGGAAAGAAGGUAUGAUCAGCAGGAAUCACAACUGAAAAAUAUUACAGAAAUCAACUGAAGUGACACACUAUUUCAUUCCUCAGCAGGUAUGCAGCAAAAACAAACCUGUGUCUGCAAAGCAGAUUCAAGAAGAGAAGCAAGGGAAUGGUGUACAAAGGGCAGAAGGCUGGCAGGGCUGUCAGGCAAUGGGAUGGGCACAGGGCUCUCCAGGGAAGCCCGUGCUGCGCUAAGAAAGAAGCACAGCAGGGUUGGCCUGGUUCUGUCCUUGCUGGCCCACAAUGAGCACCUUGAGGCAGCAGAGCAGGCAGUGCUUCACUGUGCAAUGUGUCACAUUUGGCAGCUCUUUUGCAGCUGCCAUGUGCUUGCACCUUUGGAUUGCGGGGCAAAGCAAUGCUGCAGGUGAAGGAACUCAGAUGGACUUAAAGCAACUGCUUGGACAGGUUACUUUCAAAUUCCCUGAUGAAAUUCUUUAUGCCGUGCCCUCCUGUUACUAGUGCUGAUGUGCAGGAGGAAGCAGAAAGAGAAGCAGAGAAGGAUGAGAUGAGAUGAAAGGGUCUCAGCCCCUGAAUGGAAUGAAUUGCUCAUCUGUUCUUGAGUUCUAUGAGGAGACAGCAUAAAGCAACUUUAGGGAAGCUCACACAGCCGAGGAGCGCAUCUUUGCUAUCCGUUUUCAAGGAGUAUUCUUAGCGUUGGCAGUAAGUUGCAAACUGGUCAAUUAACCGCGCGGUGACAAAUGAUUGCUUGCCAGAGCUGAUAGACUCCAGGCACCGUUAGCGAAACUAAUGCUGCCGUGCGGAGACUGCGGUGCGAGAGUGCCCCCUGUUGCUCCAGUGAGACUUGUAAGAGUUCCGAGGGAAUUGGUCAUAUACUGCAGAGAGGCUUCACCGCGAUGAAAGGUGGAAAAAAUGGCACGUAAGUGGGAGGCUGACAAAGCCAGGAGGGUGUGUGGCAAAGCACUAGAACAGCACAAUGAGAACCAAGAGGCAUGUGCAUCCAUAAGCAAAACCUCUUAUUACUCUAGCAAAAACGUGGCUGUAAGGUCAAUGCAUUACUCAGGCAUAGUGAGAAGUCUGAAGGGAUGGAAAAUCUCUGCCCCAGCAGAUAAGAGCAAGAGAAAUACCACCACGAAGUAACGUGUUUGUGUGCAGCCCACACCUUGCUCCCUGCAGCACAAGAACAGUGUUAGGCACACGUAAGUACCUCUCUCUGCCUUCCACUUAGCAGGAUACCUCUAAAAGACUUCUAACGGCAGUUAAAGUCCUGCUUUGGCAAAAUCUUUCCUCCUGUUUGCUGGAACCCUGGGCAUCAUCUGCACUGCAUACUUCAGAGAGAUUUUAUUUCUGCACGUCAUCCCUGCACUGUUGAAUUCCUUCCGAUGACCUGGGGCUAUGAGGAACACCUGGUUAAGUCUUUUAUUCAGUUUGAUCAAAAGAGCACUGACUCAGCCACGCAUUUAGCUGAAUGAGCGCUUCGCUAUGAAUAGCACAGAUAUUUGGACUCAAGUGUAUGUUAGCAGCAAUCAAUUGAAAUCUUCAUAAUGAAGGCCUGUGGGAACUAAAGGUGGAUGAAAGAAGAGGAAAAGAUGCUUUGUAGGGCAAGGUUAGGAUAUAAAGACCUGCAUCUUGUAAGCAGGUCAGCUGUUCCACACAGAGCCAGCAGCGUGCAGACAUUGGUAUUCUGCCUCAUCCCCCCCAUCACUAACAAUAAGGUGGUUAUGGUGAAUGCAGGCUGAAAUUCACGUCACAUACUGGUGAAUGUUGCAUAAUCAUCCAGGCCUGGGUACGCCGAGUGACUGCAGGAGAAGAAAGCUAGUGAUUAAUGCAAUACUAUGAUGGGGAGGGUUUGCAUGCUACCUACGUCUAUAGAUGAUGUAUUGGCAUGUGAAAUAUAGAGGGGUUAUUAGAGGCAGCAAGUGAAAACAACUGUUCUUCUGACAGCAACAGCAGUGACAUUAGUGGAAACUAGCAAGCAAUAGGAUGAUGGUUCCUGUUUUGAAAAUACUUAAUGCAUAUUGCUUUUGAAGAUAUGCUUCAGGGAAGCAGAUCAACACCAAUGAAGAAAACAGGCAGCAAAAAGCUAUCUGAUUG